rnacentral:lncRNA from 1 species
GUCCCCACCCCCUCUCGGGGCUGGUCAGGGGAGCCCUGUGGGGCCUUCACAGUUUUACAGCACUUACCUAUCCUGCAGGGAAAUGCCUUUUUGUUUCCCUGACCUGAGUUCAGGGCUCUUGGCUCCUGGAGGCAAGGAAUGCUCCUUGCACAUGUUUUACUUGCUAUAAACAGUUGGUGCCAAAUAACUGCUGGUUGAGUGGAUGAAUUAAUGACUCACAGGGAGCAGUGACCCUUUCCCUUGACUGCAGGAAAGCUAUUGGUGAGCCACAAGCCCACCGUCCCCCAUCUUCCCUGGCCUACUGUCUCCCCAUUCACCCACCAACUCCAGAAACGCUUCCCAGGGACUCUCAGGGCCUGGUUCAGUCUCCAUUAGUGGGUCAGGCUGUCCUUCCCCCCUGCUCCUUGUCCCACUGACAUGAACUUUAUUCUGCUUGUGCCUCCCACUGCCCGUGGGUUCUUCUUCCUCUGGUUCCAUGGCUACUUGGGGACCUUGAGACUCCUUCAACUCAUUGCCACAUGCUGUCUUGACACUCCCUGGUCACGUUCCCGUGCAAGGAUGUCAUCUUUUCAGGCUGGAUCACUCCUUAGUUUGAUACUUGUGUCACCCACCCAGUCAUUGUGGCUCCAGGAAUGAGAUGCAGGGUCACAUGGUACAAAAUGAGGGCUGCUCCUUCAGCAGGAACUGGAGUGGAGUGUGUUUUCCUUUGGAGAGGUUGUGGGGUUUGCUGGGUGUGUUUCCUGCAUACAGUCACUUACAGAAUUGUUUAUGGUUUUUGUCCAGUGAACACUCAGGGCAGUGUUGGAUAAAUGACCUCUGAAUCUUAAUGCUUAUUUUUCUCUUUCCACUUUUAUUUUUACUGGUGCAUUAUAGUUAUACAUACUGAUGGGAUUUGUUGUUACAUAUUUGUUCAUGCAAACAAUAUAACAAUGUCAUUUGACCAACAUCUCCCCUGCCCCAUCACUCAUCACUUCCCUCUUCCUCCCCAUCCCCCCAUCUCUUGGUCCCUCUCCUCUGCUGAUCUACUUUUGAUUUUCACUAGAUCUCUGCU